rnacentral:rRNA from 1 species
GACGAACGCUGGCGGCGUGCUUAACACAUGCAAGUCGAACGGAAAGGCCCUGCUUUUGUGGGGUGCUCGAGUGGCGAACGGGUGAGUAACACGUGAGUAACCUGCCCUUGACUUUGGGAUAACUUCAGGAAACUGGGGCUAAUACCGGAUAGGAGCUCCUGCUGCAUGGUGGGGGUUGGAAAGUUUCGGCGGUUGGGGAUGGACUCGCGGCUUAUCAGCUUGUUGGUGGGGUAGUGGCUUACCAAGGCUUUGACGGGUAGCCGGCAUGAGAGGGUGACCGGCCACAUUGGGACUGAGAUACGGCCCAGACUCCUACGGGAGGCAGUAGUGGGGAAUAUUGCACAAUGGGCGGAAGCCUGAUGCAGCAACGCCGCGUGCGGGAUGACGGCCUUCGGGUUGUAAACCGCUUUCGCCUGUGACGAAGCGUGAGUGACGGUAAUGGGUAAAGAAGCACCGGCUAACUACGUG